UACGAACUGUGCAAACGUUAUUCGGAAUCACUGGGCUUAAAGGGUGCGUAGGCGGCUGUCUAAGCAGGGUGUGAAAGCCCCCGGCUCAACCGGGGAAUUGCGUUCUGAACUGGACGGCUGGAGUGGGAUAGAGGUGUGCGGAACUUCCGGUGGAGCGGUGAAAUGUGUUGAUAUCAGAAGGAACGCCGGUGGCGAAAGCGCUCGACUGGACCCUUUCUGACGCUGAGGCGCGAAAGCUAGGGGAGCAAACGGG
rnacentral:rRNA from 1 species